GACGGAAGGUGCAAGCGUUGCUCGGAAUCACUGGGCGUAAAGGGUGCGUAGGCGGCCGUGCAAGUCUGGCGUGAAAGCCCCGGGCUCAGCCCAGGAAGUGCGCUCGAAACUGCGCGGCUCGAGUGCCGGAGGGGAGAGUGGAAUUCCUGGUGUAGCGGUGAAUGCGUAGAUAUCAGGAGGAAUACCGGUGGCGAAAGCGACUCUCGUGGACGGCAACUGACGCUGAGGCACGAAAGCGUGGGGAGCAAACGGG
rnacentral:rRNA from 1 species